UUGGAUCUAAACAGUGAUUGGAAAUAGAUUCAAAUCUGUCAGAAGUGAUUUGAACUUAUUUUCAAAGGACUUUAAUCUUUUAAUAAACUGAUUUUUAACAUUUUUCAAAACAAUUUAAAUAUUUUUAAGGUUCGAAUACUUAACAAAAAAUAUUCAAACUACUUUUCAAAAGAUUUGAUUUUUAAAAACUACUUUUACAAACCUUGUUUUAAACCUGUUUAUACAAUCCUUGAGGGGAAAAUAUCAGUCAGAAAUUUGACAAAAACGUUAAGGGCUUAACUGUUAAACUGUGUUAACUGUUAAAAAUCAAAGGACUGGAGCACUGUGAGAAUUGAUGUAAAAUUACUUUUUUAUUAUACAUUUUAAUGCAACUUUGCCAAAGGUUUGGAAAAUACCAAAAGUUUGGAAAACUGGUAAAGGAACACAAGUAGAAAUGUACAAGCACAUGCAAGUGAUGGUGAAAAAAAAAAAAAAGAA